AUUGAACGCUGGCGGCAGGCCUAACACAUGCAAGUCGAGCGGAUGAAGGGAGCUUGCUCCUGGAUUCAGCGGCGGACGGGUGAGUAAUGCCUAGGAAUCUGCCUGGUAGUGGGGGAUAACGUCCGGAAACGGGCGCUAAUACUGCAUACGUCCUGAGGGAGAAAGUGGGGGAUCUUCGGACCUCACGCUAUCAGAUGAGCCUAGGUCGGAUUAGCUAGUUGGUGGGGUAAAGGCCUACCAAGGCGACGAUCCGUAACUGGUCUGAGAGGAUGAUCAGUCACACUGGAACUGAGACACGGUCCAGACUCCUACGGGAGGCAGCAGUGGGGAAUAUUGGACAAUGGGCGAGAGCCUGAUCCAGCCAUGCCGCGUGUGUGAAGAAGGUCUUCGGAUUGUAAAGCACUUUAAGUUGGGAGGAAGGGCAGUAAGUUAAUACCUUGCUGUUUUGACGUUACCAACAGAAUAAGCACCGGCUAACUUCGUG
rnacentral:rRNA from 1 species